UGUGUCGACUUGAAAUCAAAGAAUGCAACAAGUUGAAGAGUCUCUUCCCGGUAGCCAUGGCUUCAGGUCUCAAAAAGCUCCUAGUACUUGAAGUAAGAGAAUCCUCUCAAUUAUUACGAGUAUUUGGGCAGGAUAACCAUGCUUCACCUGCCAAUAUUGAGAAGGAGAUGGUGCUCCCUGAUCUGCAGGAGUUGUUGCUUUUACAAUUACCAAGUAUUUCAUGCUUUAGUCUCGGAUGUUAUGAUUUCUUGUUCCCUCAUUUGGAGAAGUUGGAGGUGCAUGGAUGCCCAAAGCUGACCAUAGAAUCUGCCACUACAUCAAAUGACUCAAUGAGUGCUCAAUCAAAGGUACUCCUGAUUUGACUUGAUUUCUUGCCUCUCGUUUAGUUUUAAAAGUGCACAAUAAUUACUAGGAAUUACAUCUAACAAAUCGGUACCCUUGUUUUCUUUUGAUGCAGGCGUUUAUGAAUUUGAAAGAAAUAUCUAUUGGAAACUUGGAAAGAGUACAAGACUUAAUGCAGGUUGGAAGUUUGGUAACUAAUAUAAGUGGUCGGCAUGAACUUUCACUGGUGAGUAUGGAAAAAUUACACUUGAACUUAUUGCCUGACAUGAGGUGUAUAUGGAAGGGUCUCGUGCCGUGCAAUUUGACUACUGUUAAGGUGAAAGAGUGUGAGAGGCUGACACAUGUAUUCACAACCAGCAUGAUUGCUAGUCUUGUUCAACUGCAAGUUCUAGAGAUAUCAAAUUGUGAGGAAUUGGAGCAAAUCAUUGCUAAGGAUAAUGAUGAUGAAAGGGAUCAGAUAUUGUCAGGGAGUGAUCUCCAAUCUUCAUGCUUCCCCAAUUUGUAUCAACUUGAGAUAAGAGGAUGCAACAAGUUGAAGAGUCUCUUCCCAGUAGCCAUGGCUUCAGGUCUCAAAAGGCUUCACAGACUUGAAGUAAAAGAAUCCUCUCGAUUAUUGGGAGUAUUUGGGCAGGAUGAUCAUGCUUCACCUGCCAAUAUUGAGAAGGAGAUGGUUCUCCCCGAUCUGCAGUGGCUGAUUCUAAAAAAAUUACCAAGCAUUGUCUACUUCAGUCAUGGAUGUUGUGAUUUCAUAUUCCCUCGUUUGUGGAGGUUGGAGGUGCGUCAAUGUCCAAAGCUG
rnacentral:lncRNA from 1 species